ACUCCUACGGGAGGCAGCAGUGGGGAAUUUUGGACAAUGGGGGAAACCCUGAUCCAGCCAUCCCGCGUGUGCGAUGAAGGCCUUCGGGUUGUAAAGCACUUUUGGCAGGAAAGAAACGUCGUGGGUUAAUACCCCGCGAAACUGACGGUA
rnacentral:rRNA from 1 species